GUGCUCGCUUUGGCAACACAUUGACUAAAAUUGGAAUGAUACAAAGAUUAGCAUGGCUCCUGCGCAAGGAUGACAUGCAAAAAAGGGGGGGCAAAAGAACAUUA